rnacentral:tRNA from 1 species
AUUUAAAUAGUUUAAUAAAAAAUUUUGAUUUGUGGUAUCAAAGAUGUAGAUAAUACUUUAGAUU